rnacentral:rRNA from 1 species
CAGUCGCCACGGUAAUACAGAGGGUGCGAGCGUUAAUCGGAUUUACUGGGCGUAAAGCGUGCGCAGGCGGUUAUAUAAGACAGAUGUGAAAUCCCCGGGCUCAACCUGGGAACUGCAUUUGUGACUGUAUAGCUAGAGUACGGCAGAGGGGGAUGGAAUUCCGCGUGUAGCAGUGAAAUGCGUAGAUAUGCGGAGGAACACCGAUGGCGAAGGCAAUCCCCUGGGCCUGCACUGACGCUCAUGCACGAAAGCGUGGGGAGCAAACAGGAUUAGAUACCCGUGUAGUCCCUGUCUCUUAUAA